UUUUAGCUUUACAACAAAUUUAGCAGAAGUGGAGCAAUUAACAUAAUUAAAUUUUGAAAGUUCUCUGGAAAAACAGUGGCAUUAUCAGCUUGGGAAGAAUUGGCAAAGCCAGAGUUGAAGUACUAGGAAUACUAUCUAAGUUCCAUGGAGUUAGUUGGUUGUGUGAACUCUGAUCACUUCUGAGGAAACCAAUGACAUUGUCGAUUUUUAAGUCACUGAUGCUUGCUUUCCAAAGGGUAUUCUCAUUAACAUUGGAAGAGGCCUUAAUGUUGAUGAACCUGAGUCUCUGCGCUGCUGGAUGGUUUCUGCUGAAAUGGCUAUGGUGAUGAAAGGAUGACUAAAUCUGGUGAAUACGGAAGGUGCUCAAGUUUUAGAAAAACAGUGU